rnacentral:rRNA from 1 species
UACGUAGGGUGCAAGCGUUGUCCGGAAUUAUUGGGCGUAAAGAGCUCGUAGGCGGUCUGUUGCGUCGGCUGUGAAAACCCGGGCUCAACUCCGGGGCUGCCGGUCAUACUGGCGAGCUGGAGCACGGUAGAGGCGGAUGGAAUUCCCGGUGUAGCGGUGGAAUGCGUAGAUAUCGGGAAGAAUACCGGUGGCGAAGGCGUUCCGCUGGGCCGUUGCUGACGCUGAGGCGCGACAGCGUGGGGAGCAAACAGG